GGAAAUGGGCCUUAAGGCCAACGAGGCCCAAUGGGGCGCACAACUCCCUCUCUCUGAAGGACAACGAAGAGUAUGACUCUUCUCCUUCCUCUCAACUUCAGUCAACACGUAAGCGUGACUUCCCAUGCACUGACAGGUGAUCAUUAACCGGAGGGGGAAUCGAGAAGCCAGUCGACCAUUUGGGCAACGGAAAAGCCAAAAAUCGCUCAUGGCCAUUAAUGCAAUUUAAGGACAAUACUUACAAAUCUGAAGAGAAAAGUUCAUUAUUUGAUAACGCACCCUUUACCUAUCAACUCUAUCUACUACCCCUUGUCUCUCCAUUCUUCUUUUCUUAUCCAUAAAACGCAUACCAAACUUUAUAACAUGCAUUCUAUGUCUCUAUUAAACGCAAGCAUAACGAAACAAGCAAGGUGAUUAUCACAACAAAUCGGAGGAAGAUCUCAAAUUUUAAAAACUAAGGUUGUUGAGAUAAUAUGAAGCACACAAAGAGUGAAGAAAUAGAGCAGGAACUGAACCUUAACGCGAAACACGCGUUUUUAGCGAGCGUAAAGAAUAGAUCCGGACCUUGGUGAAUGUUUUCUUCCCUCUGUUUUCAUGUGAAUCCUCCAAGUUUGGAAGUGGGGAAGACGUCCUGCGGGUAACCCUUUCACUUCGUUUUCUUCUUUGUUCCUUCUACCAAUUUGGAGCUUUCGUCUAUCCAGAUCCCAACGAUCCUUCACGCAGUUUUUUAAGCGAUUCACGGUCGUGGGUGCUCACCGAGGGGUUCAGUCCGACUACCUCAUAGUUUCGGCGAGAAACUCUGAAUAGUUUUUGUGACUUGGACUUUGAGGAAUUCAGGUAAGGCUUUUCGGCAGAGUAACAGUAGGGUCCCCCUCUCUAGAUGACUCUCAACCUUUAUUUAUAGAGUCUUCUCCUCGGAUCCUCAAAUCAUGAGCUGUCAAUAUCUAUCCAAAAUCAUUCCGUUAGGAGAGAAUUUUCUCAGAGAUUUGGUGGGGACCAGGGCGAUUGUCACAGGUAAAUUUCUCUUUGUCUGUAGUGUAGCCUUCCAGUCUUCUAGAAACUGUGGUCCCUCAUUUGAUGCAGGUGGCAAGGUGAGAUUGUUUUGUUGGUAAGAUCCCCCAAAGAAUGCGUGACCAUUUUGUGUUGAAUCUUUUAUUAAGCUCUUACUGCUGUAACUCUUAUUUUUGUUGCGGUAAGAAACUUAUUUUCACUGUCAUGUACAUUCAAACUUUUAAAUGACGUUCAAUUCAAAAAGACUCUAUUAUGCUGUCAUGUGUUUUUCAGCUCACAUUUUCAACCUGUGCUUGUCGUAGGUAUAAAGGGCAACAAGAUAUCCGCUCAAUUUUGAUUUGGUUUGGAAAAGUUAUGUUGUGAAUCCGGGGUCUACAUUGCUCUGAUGUCUUGGAUUUGGAGGUGAAACAGAAAGACUUGCAUGCUUUGGCUUGCGUUUUGGACUUUUGGAGAUGAGAGUGUGAGCAUUAUUGUUUUAAUGCAGAGUGGCCUUUGUUGACUGAUAUAUCAGGGCGGUUUUGGUGCUGUUAUGCUGACAUAAGUUGGCGGGUAACUUUAAGUUCCACGAUUUAACUUAUGUUUUGAAAGUAGGAGCAGCGACUGGUUUUGAAAGUGCAUCAUCUACCUUCUCCGCAGGAGGUUUCGGCAUUGAUAACAAGCUUGGACUGAUAGCAUGUUUGGAUCGUGCAUAAGUUCCCUAAUUGUGUGUGUUCCUGAGUCCGUUUGAAUCAAUUGGAGAAAUCAUGAAUGCAUUUAUUUGUAUGGCAUGUUGUUGGCUUUUGGACUCUGUAGAUUGCAUCAUGCUGUUAGAAGGUACCCUGCAGGCUUUAGAACGAACUUGUAACAGUCUGUAGAAAUAAGUGCAGGGAAAAGCCGGGCAAGCAUCAUGGCAAAGGGAUAUGUACUUUCCAAUUUGAAGCUUAUUCUUGUCGUUUUGACUUGAUUGUAAUGUAAUCUUAGAUCAUAAGGUUGGGACUUGCGUGAACCAUGAAGUUUAACCAUACAAAUUGUAAAUUUAUGCUCGUAUUAAUAAAACUUAGGAACAUCAUGCCCAUUAAAGCAUGGUCUUGUAAAUCCAAGUUAAUGAUCUUUAUUCAAAUGA